rnacentral:rRNA from 1 species
UACAGAGGGGGCAAGCGUUGUUCGGAAUUACUGGGCGUAAAGGGCGCGUAGGCGGCCUGUUAAGUCGAACGUGAAAUCCCCGGGCUCAACCCGGGAACUGCGUCCGAUACUGGCAGGCUUGAAUCCGGGAGAGGGAUGUGGAAUUCCAGGUGUAGCGGUGAAAUGCGCAGAUAUCAGGAGGAACACCAAUGGCGAAGGCAGCACUCUGGGACGGUACUGACGCUGAGACGCGAAAGCGUGGGGAGCAAACAGG